rnacentral:rRNA from 1 species
GACGAACGCUGGCGGCGUGCUUAACACAUGCAAGUCGAACGGAAAGGCCCUGCUUUUGUGGGGUGCUCGAGUGGCGAACGGGUGAGUAACAAGUGAGUAACCUGCCUUUGACUUUGGGAUAACUUCAGGAAACUGGGGCUAAUACCGGAUAGGAGCUCCUGCUGCAUGGUGGGGGUUGGAAAGUUUCGGCGGUUGGGGAUGGACUCGCGGCUUAUCAGCUUGUUGGUGGGGUAGUGGCUUACCAAGGCUUUGACGGGUAGCCGGCCUGAGAGGGUGACCGGCCACAUUGGGACUGAGAUACGGCCCAGACUCCUACGGGAGGCAGCAGUGGGGAAUAUUGCACAAUGGGCGGAAGCCUGAUGCAGCAACGCCGCGUGCGGGAUGACGGCCUUCGGGUUGUAAACCGCUUUCGCCUGUGACGAAGCGUGAGUGACGGUAAUGGGUAAAGAAGCACCGGCUAACUACGUG